rnacentral:rRNA from 1 species
CCUACGGGGGGCUGCAGUGGGGAAUAUUGGACAAUGGGCGCAAGCCUGAUCCAGCCACGCCGCGUGAGUGAUGAAGGCCUUCGGGUCGUAAAGCUCUGUGGGGAGGGACGAACCGCUGUCGGUUAAUACCCGGCAGCAUGACGGUACCUCCUUAGCAAGCACCGGCUAACUUCGUGCCAGCAGCCGCGGUAAUACGAAGGGUGCAAACGUGGGUGGGAAUUAUUGGUAGUAGACUGCACAUAUGCGACUUGAAAGCCCUCGGCUUAACCAAGGAAGUGCAUCCAAAACUGCUGAGCUUGAGUAGUUAAGAGGAUCGCGGAAUUCCCGGUGUAGAGGUGAAAUUCGUAGAUAUCGGGAGGAACACCAGUGGCGAAGGCGGCGAUCUGGGAACAUACUGACGCUGAGGUGCGAAAGCGUGGGGAGCAAACAGGAUUAGAUACCCCAGUAGUC